rnacentral:lncRNA from 1 species
AAGCUGCGUGUAUUGGUAGAAAUUAUCAGUUUACUUCAAGAUUUUGAAAGUUCUGUUAGAAAAUGGCUCGAAUUCCAACUACAUUGGUUGUCACUACCACUCACGACAAAAAUUUACCAUUAGAGGACCUAAUGGUUUUUGUAAAGCAUAUGUUUAGUCUGAUGUGUGAAUUCCAUUGCAUUCAGAACUAUUAACACGUUGUAAAACUAGAACUAGUGAACGAUGGGAGUUAGAAGUUGCGUAGUCGAGUUUACUAACAAACAGCGGAAUAAUGCCGCUGACAGACUCCUAGUUAGCGAGUAUAACAUAUACCACCCACGGGACGACGUUCCACAAGUCAGGAUUCGGAUAAAUCACUUUGAACCUUGCAGAGAUGCAGAGUAUCCACUCGAAAGGGGGCGACACUUACCGUUUCCACUAGUUGACCACGUCAGACGCGAAUUAUUUUAAUUUUACUGUAUACAAUUAUUUAAUAUAUUUUUCUAUUUGAUUUUUGUUUUCUUUUCCUUAGCAUUAACUUACAAUUAUUUUUUUUAUAGCUAUUGUGUCACAGACAUAAGGAUGUCUGAAGACAAAAUCCUUAUCUUAUUAAGCUAUUCACCUAGGGCAGUGCCAUUAAAGAGAAAAUUUAACAAGAUGCCCGUUCGGUAUGUCAGGCCGAAGGUGGAAAACGAAAAAGAGCUAUCCGUAUUAGAAAGGUUAAUGAAUUCGUACAAGUUCAACAUCCUCGAUAAAGAUGAACUAGAUGAACCAAAGAAAAAAUUAUCCAUAACAGAUGUAUACAGUGAUGACGAUGAUGAUGAAGCUAGCAUAACUUUUCUUACUUACACACCUAUAUUUAACAAAUAUCUCGCUUACCUUUUCCCACGGCGAUAACCAACUCCUGACCCUCCCUAUUGCUAUUUGCUCAAUGUGUUCUACAAAAAAAUAUAUAUUCAGGAUAUACUGUUUUAUUGCGGUUUGUCAGUUCUUACCCAUAUCAGUGUGUGUGUGCACUUAAUCCCAUGUAUAGAAUACAAAUAACAGACUAUAAUGUUUUCGCGAUUUACAUAUGGCCUUUAUUAUCAUUAUAGAUGGAGCAAUUAUGCACUCUAGGCAAAGGAGUAUACGUAGAGGUGUGUAUAUUCUGUAAUAAGCCCUUCGUAAAAGUCUCAAAACAACAUAUGAAAUAGCAUCUCACGUGCUAUAUAUGCAAUAAAACAUAAAAGACUGCGAGAGGACGAAUGAAGCAUGUAUGUAAAAAGUCCUUUGUUGUAGAUGCCUGGACGUAAGAUAAGCAAAGGAUUUAUGAUAAUGCCCUGCACCAAUUGCCGAGCACUCAAACCAUGCAUAGGAAUGAUGUCAAAGAUUACUCUUGUAAGUUUUGUCUGUUAUAACUGUCGAACGGAUAAUCUGAAUCAUCUAUCAUAUAAUAAUAGCCGCGGUUUUGAAAAAAUAAUGAAAUUUAAUCUGCAACGUAUAUAGCAAACUUUUGAACCAUCUCCUUUCUCUUGACUUCUUCACUUUUAACACACAUACAUACUCUGUAUAGAUAUGAGCAUACUUUUACUUCCAAGAUCCCCCCAUCGUUGCUACUUCUUAUGCUGUUCCACUUUCACAGCAAGUCUUCUAAAAUAUCUAAACAGCCGUAGGUCUUUUAAUAUACUUUUUACACAGAUUACUCUAUGGUUCUCAGAUGGAAUAUAUUUCGGCUAUGGCCGUGACCACACGUCUACAGACAUUCAAGAACUGGUCAGCAGCAUUACCAUACACACCUAUACAAUUAAGUACUCAUGGGUUUAUAUAUUCAGGGGUUGGCGAUAGAAUUCUAUGUUGUUUAUGUUGCACAGUUCUCAGCGAUCAAUCAAAAGCGUGGGUCCCUAAGCAUAAAAACAAAAAUUGUCCUUGUAUGGUUGCGAUCUGUAUGUUAAAAAGAUGCUAUUGUACGAGAAUCGUGUAAUCAGUUUACAAGCAACAAACAGACCACGACGCGAGACGCGUAGAAUGGCUCAAGAUGUUUUUUAUUAUCAAGACGGUUUGCGAUACGUGACAUAUAAAAAUAUGAGCUUGCUUAAGAUAAGGUUGGAGACCUUUAACGGCAAAUCCAUAGACAAUUCUAGAGAAAUAGCUCGUAAGGGCUUUAUCCAUUCUGUCGUCGAUGCACGGCUUGUACAAUGUCUGCAUGUGACAUAGUGCCUUAGGCUAUGGAGAGUUCUGAGAGCAGCUCAAUAAUCUGUAAGGUAUGUUAUGACGGUCCUCUUGAAGUAAUAUUUUUCACAUGUUGCCAUGCAUGUACUUGCGCGAGAUGUGGAUUCAUGUUACGCACUUGUUGUAUGUGUCGAGAGCCAGUACAAAGCGCCUCGCGAAUAUUUAUAUAGGAUAUUUUUUCGUAGAUUGCUUAGGGAGCUGCCUAAUGCAAGAAUAUGAUUUAUUAUACGCUUUAACAUUUGCGAGUACAGAUAUACACCUAUAUAUUUACAUUUACAGUAGCGCGGUGCAGCAUAGAAUAUACAUAGUAGCUUAAACAAGUGACUUGUUUAAUCUCCUCAGUCCAUAGGUCCAGCCGGCUGGAAAAUGUUUACUAAUUUAUUACACGGUUACUAUUCGGGUUGGGCAUCACUGCGUCCUAUAUUUCAGCAUAUUGGACUUCCUAUUUAUCAGUCAAAUUUACUCAUUUGAAAAAUUCGACAACAGCGCCUACCUCGGUAGUUUGUUGUUACAUGUGGUGAAACUUUUUAAGUUAUGAUGGCGGCUCCACAAAAAUACAGUAAGUUGUAGUGUUUUUCUGUACUUUAAAGUAUUGAUUGUUUUUACUGUAUGUUACUUGAUGAUUGGACGUAUUUGUGGUAAAUCUAUAUUUGAAAAUAAUUACAACUGGACACGUUAGCGGUCCUGUAAACUUUUUGUGCAGCAUUUUGGACAUUGGGACUUAGUUAGCCAAAUAUGUUACCAUACUCACAUUUUUUAAGUUUAGUUACAGAUAGUAAAAGGAUAUUGAUGGAAUGUGCAUUGGAGGCUAUUUUGACAGAUAACGAUUUUUUCGUCAGUGAAGAUAGCGAUAAUGAUCAAAGGAAAUGGAUUUACAGGAAUUUAAGCUGUAUGUUGGAAGGUCACUAGCUCUAGGUGGUAAGCCCGCAAGUGAGAGACAAGCUAGUGCGUCUAUUUCAAGAAAACCGGAGACAUCUGAAGGUGAGGUGCCCAUAAUUCGUCUAAAAAGAUCUACAGUUUUCCAGUUACCGCCUAUAGAUGCCAUGACCAUUUGCCAAUAUGCUGUGUCAGCAAUAGAAAUUCUUAUCGCGUUGCCUAAACCUCUUGGAUGAACUAAGAAGACAAUAUUCUUUGGUACAGAAUGCAAAAUGUAUAUGUGUAUUUCUCCUGAACCAGAAUGUUUUUCAGUUUCAUACUUAAAUUAUAUGAAAGCUAAGUCGUGAUGUCCAUUAUGCUGGACAUGUCAUAUUUUGUUUGUCAAAUAAUUUUAUUAUAGUUUUUAUAAAUUUUUGUUUAUUGGUUUCACAAAUGAGGAGAGAAAAUAGAAAAUAUUGUUAAAAUAAUAAAAACUUAUUUCUUGGGACUGAAGAGGUUAACCAACCUGUUUCUAUCCCAACAGCCACAGACGCUACAUUCGAUACCCUCUUAGACUACAUAGAGAAUAUUGUAGCCUCAGACUAUUCGAAUACAGAACCCUUCUAUGAGGGAUUGAUUAUGACUUUUACUCCUACUUUUUUAUUGUUACAGAUGUCUACUCCAUCGAGCACCCCAGGACUUCCCUACCCCAAUGAUGUUGAUGAAUGUUGGGACGAUGAUCAGUCCAAGUCACCCCUAGCUUAUAUCCAAAACGCCGCCCUACACAAACCAAUAAUUCGCACCGCUCCACCCAAACUGUCUAAAACGGCCAAACUCCAGUUCCGUAUGGCUGAGAGGUCUCGCCACGCUAGAAUCCAUUCAUGAGGCUGAUUAGUGUAGAGAUGGCUCACCCCACUCCUCUUCAUCUCCUAAUCCGAUAAGUAUAUUAUUACCAUCACCUCUUUCCAUCAGCCUGAUCUGAUUUCAGUUUGCAGGUCUCUGUUCUUAAUAUCAUCAGCGUCUGUCAUAGUAUUAUUUCUAUCAACCUAGCGCAUCUCUUGUUCCUAUCAAAUUCAUUUCUGCUACAUACAAUUGCAAUACAUUGCUGUCCUGUAAUUCUAGCAUAGAUGAUAUGCUAGACGAGAUUAUUACAUCCGACCUGACGAUUGAUAUUUGCAACACUUCAUUUGAUGUUCACAUUAUCUGUAUACCUAGACGCUAGAUUGUGUUGAAAAUAAAAUACUUUUAUAUGCACAUGUUCCAUGUUCUCCCUCCAUAACGUUUUUAUGCAGGACGCGUCACCCCAUGAGACACUACAUAACUGUAAUGUGCGUUAGGUGACGUGGUAUUCGACAUUCAACAUAAAACAGGCGCGGAAACGUGACGUCACAUUCGACGCAUGAUUUUACAUUUGACGUGAAAUAUGACGUGAAUAUCUUGACGUUCAACGCAGAACGCGACAUUUGACGUAAAAUAUGGCGUGGAUGAUGUGACAGUCGACAUGUUAUGUAUAAGGCCUCUUUGACACCUCAUCAUACGCUUUAUUUGAUUAUAUAAAUUGAUGUUUGAGGUUGUCACAUAUUGCUGAGCUCAGGUGUAUUUCAUUCCUUCUGAUGGUUACUAAGCAACGAAGAUACGAUAUAGUGUCAUUUUAGCAAUGUCGUCAUGUUUGUGUUUCUCUGUAGCAAUGUUGUCAUGUUUGUUUUUCUCUGUUACUCAAUUACCAAUCAUUCGAUGUCUCUGAUGUAAAUGUUAUAUUGGUUAACGACUUUUGUAAUACACUACCAACCUACAAAACAUAAUAUUACCUGACUUGCCGUAGAUAAAAUACAGUAUGCAACUCACAAUACCAUGCGGAGAUGCGAUAGGCUGAAGACUCUUUUACGAGGAGAUAUUGGCGCUCCGAAGAUAGCUCUUUUGAUAAUAUUGUCAUGUUUGUUUCUUCUCUGUUAGAUAAUCACCAUUCAUUCGAUUUCUCUUGAUAUUAAUGAAGCGGCGCGUUUGUUUUUACGUUAACGUAUUCAUACACUCUACCCGACCCCCACCCCCCACAGGACUUUAGCGAUUUAUUACUUUGAGUUUGUUUUUUAUGUUAACAUAAGGACCACAAUGGACCUUAGCGAUUUAGUAUUUUGCGAUGUGAGACAAUAAUGACCCGUAUGGACUUAUAACGAUUUCAUACUUUGCGCUGUGAGACAUAAAUGGCCAGCAUGGACUUCAGCAAUUUCUUACUUUGCUUUUGGUCGAUUUCAUACUUUGCCUAAAAAGCGUCAAAAAGGACCAGCAUGGACUUUAAAAAUUUCUUACUUUGCGUUUGUUUUUUGUCUUAAGACAACGAGACAGAAAUUCCCAGCAUGGCUUUUAGUGAUUUAGUAGUUUGCGUUUGUUUUUUGAGUUAACACAAUGAGACAAUAAUGAGCAGCAGGGACUUUAGCGAUUUCAUACUUUACGAUUUGUGACAAAAAUGAGCAGAAUGGACCUUAGCGAUUUCUUAUGGGAUUUUACAUGGGAAAAUAUCCAGAACUGUCCUAGCUCCUUUACUCUCUAUCAACGUAGAUAAGCGCAACACUGUUUAGGCCCCACAAAUCAGAUUUUGUUUUUCAGAGACAUCCUACCAAAAAAAUUACAAAAAAUACAAAAAACGGCUUCGGCCACCAAAAAAAA